UACGUAGGGGGCUAGCGUUGCUCGGAAUCACUGGGCGUAAAGGGUGCGUAGGCGGGUCUUUAAGUCAGGGGUGAAAUCCUGGAGCUCAACUCCAGAACUGCCUUUGAUACUGAAGAUCUUGAGUUCGGGAGAGGUGAGUGGAACUGCGAGUGUAGAGGUGAAAUUCGUAGAUAUUCGCAAGAACACCAGUGGCGAAGGCGGCUCACUGGGCCGAUACUGACGCUGAGGCACGAAAGCGUGGGGAGCAAACAGG
rnacentral:rRNA from 1 species